GUCUACGGCCAUGCCACCCUGAACAAGCUGGAUCCUGUCUGAUCUCGGAAGCUAAGCAGGGUCAGGCCUGGUUAGUACUUGGAUGGGAGACCACCUAGGAAGAACAGGUGAUGUAAGUG
rnacentral:rRNA from 1 species